rnacentral:rRNA from 1 species
AUUGAACGCUGGCGGCAUGCCUUACACAUGCAAGUCGAACGGCAGCACGGGGGCAACCCUGGUGGCGAGUGGCGAACGGGUGAGUAAUGCAUCGGAACGUGCCCAGUAGCGGGGGAUAACUACGCGAAAGCGUAGCUAAUACCGCAUACGUACUAAGGUAGAAAGCAGGGGAUCGCAAGACCUUGCGCUAUUGGAGCGGCCGAUGUCUGAUUAGCUAGUUGGUGGGGUAAAAGCCUACCAAGGCGACGAUCAGUAACUGGUCUGAGAGGACGACCAGUCACACUGGGACGGAGACACGGCCCAGACUCCUACGGGAGGCAGCAGUGGGGAAUUUUGGACAAUGGGGGAAACCCUGAUCCAGCAAUGCCGCGUGUGUGAAGAAGGCCUUCGGGUUGUAAAGCACUUUUGUUCGGAACGAAACGGCGCCGGCUAAUACCUGGCGCUAAUGACGGUACCGGAAGAAUAAGCACCGGCUAACUACGUGCCAGCAGCCGCCGUAA